rnacentral:rRNA from 1 species
ACAACCCAGACCGCCAGCUAAGGUCCCAAAGUCAUGGUUAAGUGGGAAACGAUGUGGGAAGGCACAGACAGCCAGGAUGUUGGCUUAGAAGCAGCCAUCAUUUAAAGAAAGCGUAAUAGCUCACUGGUCGAGUCGGCCUGCGCGGAAGAUGUAACGGGGCUAAACCAUGCACCGAAGCUGCGGCAGCGACACUAUGUGUUGUUGGGUAGGGGAGCGUUCUGUAAGCCUGCGAAGGUGUGCUGUGAGGCAUGCUGGAGGUAUCAGAAGUGCGAAUGCUGACAUAAGUAACGAAAAAGGGGGUGAAAACCCCGCUCGCCGGAAGACCAAGGGUUCCUGUCCAACGUUAAUCGGGGCAGGGUGAGUCGACCCCUAAGGCGAGGCCGAAAGGCGUAGUCGAUGGGAAACAGGUUAAUAUUCCUGUACUUGGUGUUACUGCGAAGGGGGGACGGAGAAGGCUA